GAUGAACGCUGGCGGCGUGCCUAAUACAUGCAAGUCGAGCGAACAGACGAGGAGCUUGCUCCUCUGGCGUUAGCGGCGGACGGGUGAGUAACACGUGGAUAACCUACCUAUAAGACUGGGAUAACUUCGGGAAACCGGAGCUAAUACCGGAUAAUAUAUUGAACCGCAUGGUUCAAUAGUGAAAGACGGUUUUGCUGUCACUUAUAGAUGGAUCCGCGCCGCAUUAGCUAGUUGGUAAGGUAACGGCUUACCAAGGCAACGAUGCGUAGCCGACCUGAGAGGGUGAUUGGCCACACUGGAACUGAGACACGGUCCAGACUCCUACGGGAGGCAGCAGUAGGGAAUCUUCCGCAAUGGGCGAAAGCUUGACGGAGCAACGCCGCGUGAGUGAUGAAGGUCUUCGGAUCGUAAAACUCUGUUAUUAGGGAAGAACAAAUGUGUAAGUAACUAUGCACGUCUUGACGGUACCUAAUCAGAAAGCCACGGCUAACUACGUG
rnacentral:rRNA from 1 species